UACGUAGGGUGCGAGCGUUGUCCGGAAUUAUUGGGCGUAAAGGGCUCGUAGGCGGUUUGUCGCGUCGGGAGUGAAAACCCAGGGCUUAACCCUGGGCUGGACCUUCCGGAUACGGGCAGACUAGAGGUAUGCAGGGGGAGAACGGAAUUCCGUGGUGUAGCGGUGAAAUGCGCAGGAUAAUCAGGAGGAACACCGGUGGCGAAAGGCGGUU
rnacentral:rRNA from 1 species